CUGUAGCAUGAUCUAGACGCGUCUCUUCACCUGUUGUUGAGCGUACUACAUUGAGGAUCUCAGCCCGCUAGGUUGUGAUUAUCAGGUUUGAUGGUUCUGCUGUCAACAGAGCAUCACUACUAUCUUCUCCUGGUGUGUUUAUCCUCAGAGAGAUUCAUCACCUGGAGAGGGUUCAGUCGCUCCAAGCAGCACCAUGGUUACCUGCCCUGAGGGCCGGGGCGUUGCUACACGGAGAAGACUCUCACCAAGCCUCUCACCUGAGAGCCACAGCUCCUCACCUGAGAGCCUUGCAGCAGAGCCCAGAGCAGCUGGAGCGGAGAGAGGAGCUGGAUGGAGUGAUAGCAUGUAGCUUCUGGAUCUACCGCCGUGCAGAGAGAGAGCCUGAAGGCCUCAGAGAUGAAGACGAUGGGACCAGACCAGCCCUGCAACCGACGGAGGAAGACCUCUGAAAGGAUGAGGAGACCCUCUGCUGACCCUGAUGGAAGCAAAAGGGCUUUACUCAGGAGAAUCAGGUAGCAUGAAGUGAAGGAAACAUACUGGACCACAUAGCUUUAUUGGAAUGGACAGCUUGUGUGUGUGUGUGUGUGUGUGUGUGUGUGUGUGUGUGUGUGUGUGUGUGUGUGUGUGUGUGUGUGUGUGUGUGUGUGUGUGUGUGUGUGUGUGUGUGUGUGCUGUGGUGUAUGAUUACAACGAAUCCUCCUCAAGUCAUCUAAAACUGGCUUCAGUUUAGCCAAUUAAUAUUCUAAAAUCCACCCAUUUGGAUAGAAAUUACAUUACCAGUAAGAAAACUAAAUGCAUACAUUUGAUGUUGUCAUAGCGACCUGACUACUAUUGUACAUUAAAUAUAAUACAGGAUUCACCCAGAGGCCCAGAGGAUUCUGGGUAAUUCCAUCAUCGCUUUAGUUUGCCUGGAACGUUUAGAAGACCUAGCUGGGACUUGCCCGACGUUGCACUCCACAGCCCUGGGGCCCACGGUGACUCUGACACGGGUCCAAUGGCCACCUCACCGGCCUCAGCCCGGGCCUGCGCUGGUCCAUUCUUCUCAUCAGGUAUGACCAGCAUAGGACCUUAGAAGGUCAUGGUCGACGGUCAGUCCUAACGUUGUGGCAGUGGACAGAUUCACUUUGGAUAAAACAACCUGCUAACUUAAUUAAGAGUGCUAGCACAUAAACAACUCUGCACUACAUUUGAAUGAAAGUCAUUGUAAAUUGUAUUGAUAAGUUAAAUUUAUGUUUGAUUGGAAAACCCAUUUUGUAAUAUU
rnacentral:lncRNA from 1 species